rnacentral:rRNA from 1 species
GAUUUCUGAUGAACCGGAUUGGCCCGUUUCCUUUCAGGGAAUGAGUGCCGCUUUGAGUUUGUCAUCCUUCCAGAGAGCUACGUCUACCGUUUAUUCGGCCGGACGCACGCAAUCUGGAUCUAUUACUUUGAAAAAAUUAGAGUGUUUAAAGCAGGCUUAUGCUAUGAAUACAUUAGCAUGGAAUAAUAAUUUAGGACUUUGGUUCUAUUUUGUUGGUUUCUAGGACUGAAGUAAUGAUUGAUAGGGACAGUUGGGGGUGCUAGUAUUCCGCGGCCAGAGGUGAAAUUCUUGGAUUCGCGGAAGACUAACUACUGCGAAAGCAUU